rnacentral:rRNA from 1 species
CAAUAGCGUAUAUUAAAGUUGUUGCGGUAAAAAAGCUCGUAGUUGGAUUUCUGUUGAGAGCGACCGGUCCAUACCAUGUAUGCGUAUCUGGCUUGCUCUCGGCAUCCUCUCGAUAGACGUUACUGCGCUUGAUUGCGUGGUGCGGAUCUCGGGACUUUUACUUUGAGGAAAUUAGAGUGUUCACGGCAGGCUUUCGCCAGAAUACAUUAGCAUGGAAUAAUACUAUAGGAUCUUGGUUCUAUUUUGUUGGUUUCUAGAAUUGAGAUAAUGAUCAAUAGGGACAAUUGGGGGCAUUCGUAUCAACACGUCAGAGGUGGAAUUCUUGGAUUGUGUUGCGACGAACUACUGCGAAAGCAUUUGCCAAGGAUGUUUUCAUUGA